rnacentral:lncRNA from 1 species
CCUUCUUCCUUCUCCGGCGAUUUCGCUGGUUCUCGCCGCCUCCGGCGCGACGAGGAUCGUGGUGGUCCUUCCCCUUUAUCGUUUUCUACUUAUCCACCGGUGCCACCGUCUGUAUCUCUCUCACCACUCCUAAUUCUCAAUUCAGACCACACAUCCCCAAAGGUUACUCUCUCUGUCGUUCGCCGCUAGCCACCGUCCCCAUCUUCUCCAAUCGCGCUACCCUACCUCAGAGCCUCCACUGUCGAGUCUUCUCCAUCGUCUCACCCAAUCCUCGGCCGCCGCCGCUAAUUUGAAAUCCCUAACCCCCAAAUUGAGGCCCCUCUCUUUUUCCCUAAUUGUUACCGGUCUCUUGCCUGCGCCGCUUGCGUCUGUCUCUCUGGAAACCGGUGGCAUUUCGAUAGCCAGAUGCGAUUCAAGCUUUCAUUUCCCGGUGGAAGCUUCGAGACAUGGUCAGAAAACCUAGCUCUAGCAUCUUUUGGAGGUAUGAUUCCCUUUCAAAAUUCUUCGUCUCUCACCACCUCUCCCACAGCGAUUCUAUUGCUAGCCUCGCUGUAAGUAUCCUGUUCAGGUAUUCUAUGGAUGUUAAUCGAAUUGAUUUUUGCGAAUUGUGAUUAUGCUCAAACCCAGGCUAUAUGCGUUCGACAAUGUGUUCCUAUAACCUAUACUAGAUUAGUUUAGAAGAUUAUAAAUAAGAGCUUAUGAAUACAAAAUUUAUAGCUUUUCCGCGCAUGGCUGUGAGCUAUUGACUCAUGAAAUUAUUUUGCUAACUGAAAUUUAUCGUCUGGUUUUGUUACAUGUUGAUAUGCAAUGUUGAUAUUUUGGAAUAAGAGAAAAAAAAGUGAAGGUCUCUAAUUUGUUACAUGUUGAUAUGCAAUGUUGUAUCAGGCUAUGAGGGUGAUUAUUAAUGAAAGAUAUGGUUCUGUUUUUGGUUUGCAGUGUCUAUUAUAAAAGGCUUAUCUAGUUGUUUUUUAUUUGCUUUAGGAAUCCGAAGAACUCACAUCAUCUACACAAUGGAGGUUUGUUCACACUUCUAUUUUUUCUUGCUCAAAUUUAUUCAAGAAUUUUUUGGUGUAACUUCUUAUACAACCACCAGCAAAGCAGUGACAAUGUUUGAAGAUCUGUGUUUUUUCUUUUCUAGNCAUAAACAUCUCAUGGACUCAUCUUCAUCAUCAAUUCAUCAUUUAAAUCAUUGACUCAAAAGUUCCCAUUUUUGGGUAAACUAAACUCAUCGAAAUUUGAAUCUCAAAGCAUAGCUUUUCAAAACACACAUCAAUCAUCACCAAACAUAUAUAGAUCACUUUUCUCACCCCAAUUCAAGGAAAGAAAAAGAAAUAUUUUUGAAGGGUAGAACACCCAAUUUUUCGAAAAUUUAGAAAAAAUGAAGGGGGUGAUUUUCUUGCUUCAAACUCUCAAGAAUACUCACAUACAAUCUCAUACAAGUUUAAUCCAUGAAUAUGGAGAUCACUUACCCAAGUUUACACCAAAUAUCAAACUUUCUCUCUCUAGUCUUGAAGCCAAUCUUCAAGGAUUCUCUUGAAUUCAAGUUGAUAGGAUGUGUUUAUGUGGGAUUUUGUUGGUGAUUUAUGUGUUUGGCAUAUUUUGGUGAAGCUUCGAAGGUCUCUCCAAUGGUUGACAAUGGAGGAAAUAUGAGAGAGAAAGGAGAGAGAGAGAGCUCGAAAAUAGGGUGGAGGGAGAGAGAGAAUUAUCUUGCAAGAUUUGUGAGGAUUUUGCCAAUCUUGUAAAGAUUUGUGAAUCUUUAAAGGAGAUUUUGAUAUCUUAGGGAAUAUUUGGCAAUUAAAGCAUGAUCUCUCUCAUCAUCUCUACACUCUCAAUAAUACACUCUCAAUCUCUACUCUCUCAAUCUCUACACUUAGCAAUUUGAGGCAUUUAAAUCAUAUGGUAGGGAAAUUAAAAUAAAGUGUGAGAAGGGUGAUUAAAUAAUAAUCACAAUAACUAUGGAAAUGUCGCUCACUAAUAAAAUACCAUAGCAUAAUUAUUCAUGUGACCAAAAUAAUAAUUAUAGCACUAAUAUUAGUGCACUCACUCAAUUAUAAUAUUCCUCAUCAUAGGAAAAAUAAUUUAAAAAAUAUUAUGCUUGGAAAAAUUUCCAGAAACCGGCAUCAUUCGAUUUCCCGGUAAAAAUAAACCGCACUUGCUUUGGAAACUUAAAUAAAAUUCCAAGUGCUGAAGUCCUCAAAUAAAAAUCAUAAUAACUUGCUCUUAAAGAUAUACGUAACAGAAAUCACAUAAUCAGUCAGUCACGUAAGUUCACAUAACAUCACAUCAAAGCAGUCGGUAAACACAAACAAACUAGACGUCUCUCAGACCGACUCUAUUUAUCAAGGUUUCUCACUCUUUCUUCCUCGACUCUAUUUCCAACUCAUUAUCCCUAUUUUCUUAAUAGGAUAGUCAAACUCUGAUAAUUCAGUAUCCGGUAAUUCUAUUCCCGGUAGUCGGAAAUAAAAUAAAAUCUCAACUCAUUUCUCAAAUCUCAUCACUCUAAUUCAUCAUCGGUUUAUUCACUCGUAUCUCUAUUUAAAAGACAAUCUGUCUUGUCUGCUCAUAAAAAAAAAAAAGUUUCGUAUUUUGACAUCUCGGUACUCUCAUUAGUGUUAAGACACUAUUUCUCAGGAGACUUCUCGGAAUUGAUUUUUGAUAGUUCUUCAGUUGGGGAGUUUGGAGUAACAAGGUUGAUGGGAGAGAUUUCACUUAAGACUGCUUGACUAACUUGAGUCUUUCUGGUUGAGCGACAUGUUCGGCUGUGAACACCAACUAUUGGUGCAGGAGUUGCAAUCACUACUAAAAAAAAGAAUAGGGAUAACGGUUCAUACUUAACGGUUUUGGUCAAAAACCGUUAUGUAUGAGCGCACUUUUAAUGAUACAUAACGGUUUUACAAAAUUCUGUUAUGUAUGUACUGUUAUCCAAAUGUAUUUAUAACAGUACCAAAUUAAGCGUUACAUAUUUGCGUUAUCUAUUAAUGAUUUAUAUAACGAUAUUACUGAACCGUUAAGUUAUACGUUAUCUAUGAGCACUUGUUUUAUAACGGUUAUUUUAGCGUUAAGAAAAUCGUUAUAUAUAACCAUUAUUUAUUUAUUAAUUUUAUAUUUAUUUAUUUUGUUUACUCCCUCCGUCCACAAAUUAAUGCCCUACUUGGGUCCUGGCACGGAGACUAAGAAAGCUGAAAAAGGUGAUGUGGAUGAAAUAUAAGGGUAGUUGACUAAAGUGAUAAAGUAGUUGACUAAAGUGAUAAAGUGAUAAAGUGUAGUAAAUAUAGAAUAUAAAAGUGAAAAAUGUGUUUGAAGGUGGGUCCAUUAGUGGCAAAGGGUAGUAAAUAUAGAAAAAGUAGGAGAGUAAAAGGGUACAAAAAGCAAAACAGGGCAUUAAUUUGUGGACAGUUUUUUAAAGCCAAACAGGGCAUUAAAUUGUGGACGGAGGGAGUAUUAAUUUUAAUUUUAAAAUAAACUAAAUACCCCUCAAUUUCAAAAUCAGAAAUCUUAUUUUUUCCUCUCUUUCUUUCAUCUGACGCUCUCUAUCUCUCUUUCACGUCUUUCUCCUUCUUCCUUCUCCGGCGAUUUCGCUGGUUCUCGCCGCCUCCGGCGCGACGAGGAUCGUGGUGGUUCUUCCCCUUUAUUGUUUUCUACUUAUCCACCGGUGCCACCGUCUGUAUCUCUCUCCCCACUCCUAAUUCUCAAUUCAGACCACACAUCCCCCAAAGGUUACUCUCUCUGUCGUUCGCCGCUAGGCACCGUCCCCAUCUUCUCCAAUCGCGCUACCCUACCUCAGAGCCUCCACUGUCGAGUCUUCUCCAUCGUCUCACCCCAUCCUCGGCCGCCGCCGCUAAUUUGAAAUCCCCUAACCCCAAAUUGCCGACCCCUCUCUUUUUCCCUAAUUGUUACCGGUCUCUUGCCUGCGCCGCUUGCGUCUGUCUCUCUGGAAACCGGUGGCAUUUCGAUAGCCAGAUGCGAUUCAAGCUUUCAUUUCCCGGUGGAAGCUUCGAGACAUGGUCAGAAAAUCUAGCUCUAGCAUCUUUUGGAGGUAUGAUUCCCUUUCAAAAUUCUUCGUCUCUCACCACCUCUCCCGCAGCGAUUCUAUUGCUAGCCUCGCUGUUAAGUAUCCUGUUCAGGUAUUCUAUGGAUGUUAAUCGAAUUGAUUUUUGCGAAUUGUGAUUAUGCUCAAACCCAGGCUAUAUGCGUUCGACAAUGUGUUCCUAUAACCUAUACUAGAUUAGUUUAGAAGAUUAUAAAUAAGAGCUUAUGAAUACAAAAAUUUAUAGCCUUUUCCGCGCAUGGCUGUGAGCUAUUGACUCAUGAAAUUUAUUUUGCUAACUGAAAUUUAUCGUCUGGUUUUGUUACAUGUUGAUAUGCAAUGUUGAUAUUUUGGAAUAAGAGAGAAAAAAGUGAAGGUCUCUAAUUUGUUACAUGUUGAUAUGCAAUGUUGUAUCAGGCUAUGAGGGUGAUUAUUAAUGAAAGAUAUGGUUCUGUUUUUGGUUUGCAGUGUCUAUUAUAAAAGGCUUAUCUAGUAUUUUUAUUUGCUUUAGGAAUCCGAAGAACUCACAUCAUCUACACAAUGGAGGUUUGUUCACACUUCUAUUUUUUCUGCUCGAAUUUAUNUUUCAUCUGACGCUCUCUAUCUCUCUUUCACGUCUUUCUCCUUCUUCCUUCUCCGGCGAUUUCGCUGGUUCUCGCCGCCUCCGGCGCGACGAGGAUCGUCGGUUGGUCCUUCCCCUUUUAUCGUUUUCUACUUAUCCACCGGUGCCACCGUCUGUAUCUCUCUCACCACUCCUAAUUCUCAAUUCAGACCACACAUCCCCAAAGGUUACUCUCUCUGUCGUUCGCCGCUAGCCACCGUCCCCAUCUUCUCCAAUCGCGCUACCCUACCUCAGAGCCUCCACUGUCGAGCCUUCUCCAUCGUCUCACCCAUCCUCGGCCGCCGCCGCUAAUUUGAAAUCCCUAACCCCCAAAUCGAGACCCCUCUCUUAUUCCCUAAUUGUUACCGGUCUCUUGCCCGCGCCGCUUGCGUCUGCCUCUCUGGAAACCGGUGGCAUUCGAUAGCCAGAUGCGAUUCAAGCUUUCAUUUCCCGGUGAAAGCUUCGAGACAUGGUCAGAAAACCUAGCUCUAACACCUUUGGAGGUAUGAUUCCCUUUCAAAAUUAUCGUCUCUUACCACCUCUCCCGCAACGAUUUUAUUGCUAGCCUCGCUGUUAAGUAUCCCGUUCAGGUAUUCUAUGGAUGCUAAUCGAAUUUAUUUUCGCUAAUUGUGAUUAUGCUCAAACCCAGGCUAUAUGCGUUCGACAAUGUGUUCCUAUAACCUAUACUAGAUAAGUUUAGAAGAUUAUAAAUAAGAGCUUAUGAAUACAAAAAUUUAUAGCCUUUUCCGCGCAUGGCUGUGAGCUAUUGACUCAUGAAAUUAUUUUGCUAACUGAAAUUAUCGUCUGGUUUGUUACAUGUUGAUAUGCAAUGUUGAUAUUUGGAAUAAGAGAGAAAAAGUGAAGGUCUCUAAUUUGUUACAUGUUGAUAUGCAAUGUUGUAUCAGGCUAUGAGGGUGAUUAUUAAUGAAAGAUAUGGUUCUGUUUUUGGUUUGCAGUCUCUAUUAUAAAAGGCUUAUCUAGUGUUUUUAUUUGCUUUAGGAAUCCGAAGAACUCACAUCAUCUACACAAUGGAGGUUUGUUCACACUUCUAUUUUUCUUGCUCAAAUUUAUUCAAGAAUUUUUGGUGUAACUUCUUAUACAACCACCAGUAAAGCAGUGACAAUGUUUGAAGAUCUGUGNUUUUUUUUCUAGCUAUUUAUACUUAGCUUCAUCUCUGUGCUGAUCUGAAGCAUAUGUUCUGUUAUAAAUUGGUCUCUCUUACUACAACUUAUAUAAUAGCAGGAAAUGUUAAAUCAGAGUUUGCUANAAAAAUUUAAUUUAUGAUUGCCUUGCAUCUUACAUAGACAAUUACUAUUUACUUUGAUGUAGCAGGGAUUGGAGAUAUCAUUGUUGAAAUCACUUGUCAACAGCAUCACUUGUUUUUUACAAUUAUCCUCUUGUGGAAGCAUAAGAACUGAACCAGUUCACACAUAUCACCAAAAGACAAUAGUUGAUGCGAUUGCCGAUACUUAAUUUGUCUCCAUGGAAUGCUUCAAAGAGCAUUUGUUGGAAUCCUACAUUGUGUCGAUGAAUUGGAAAGUAUAUGUGAAAACUGGCAACCAUUAAUGAGUGAAAUUUAGUUUGUACGUGAUAAGGUUUUGUUAUCAUCAGUUGAACAUGUAAUAAGUUUGUUCCAAAGAAGUUAACUUUGUACUUGCUGAUUUUGCUUUGACAAAUAGGUUUUAUAAGUUGAGUAGUCACUUAUGUGAAAGAUUAGAAAUCAUGAUUUGGAGUCACUUAUGCUCAAGUCUUCUGUUGAACUCAGUUGUGCAGCAAUAUAUACAGCAAAUCAAGCAUCUGGAAUCUGAACAAACUUCAUCAAUAUCUAAAGCAAAUUAGGUCUUGAAGGAGCAGAGGAGCUGGCGCCAAGUUAGGGACUUCUUUGGUUGGAUGAAAUUACAG